rnacentral:lncRNA from 1 species
CUCUGAUACUAAUUGAAGGAAAGAGAAACUGUUUUCCUCCGAGAUGCCCAGGUUGCAUCUAAAUUUUUUUUAAUAUUUUAUUUGUUUAAAGAUCAAAUUUUUACUUGAAAUACAGUGGAAUCAAAGAUCAAAUCUCAAAUUAUCUGAUGUAAACCUUCAUGGAGGUCUGGAUGUGCAGACCCUCUACUUUGCAUGUACGUCAGACACCG